CCUACGGGGGGCUGCAGUGGGGGAUAUUGGACAAUGGGGGGAACCCUGAUCCAGCGACGCCGCGUGAGUGAAGAAGUAUUUCGGUAUGUAAAGCUCUAUCAGCAGGGAAGAAAGAAAUGACGGUACCUGACUAAGAAGCCCCGGCUAACUACGUGCCAGCAGCCGCGGUAAUACGUAGGGGGCAAGCGUUAUCCGGAUUUACUGGGUGUAAAGGGAGCGUAGACGGCGAUGCAAGUCUGAAGUGAAAGGCGGGGGCCCAACCCCCGGACUGCUUUGGAAACUGUAUGGCUGGAGUGCAGGAGAGGUAAGUGGAAUUCCUGGUGUAGCGGUGAAAUGCGUAGAUAUCAGGAGGAACACCGGCGGCGAAGGCGGCCUGCUGGACUGCGACUGACGUUGAGGCUCGAAAGCGUGGGGAGCGAACAGGAUUAGAUACCCGGGUAGUC
rnacentral:rRNA from 1 species